GACAGAGGUCCCAAGUGUUAGGCGGAAUCACUGGGCUUAAAGCGUGUGUAGGUGGAUGCCUAAGUACCUUGUGAAAUCCCACGGCUUAACCGUGGAACUGCUUGGUAUACUGGGUGUCUUGAGUCACUCAGGGGCGAGCGGAACAAAUGGUGGAGCGGUGAAAUGCGUAGAUAUCUGGAGGAACACCGGUGGCGAAGGCGGCAUCCUGGACCAACACUGACACUAAAAAGCGAAAGCCAGGGGAGCAAACGGG
rnacentral:rRNA from 1 species